rnacentral:misc_RNA from 1 species
GAUGAAGAACGUAGCGAAAUGCGAUAAGUAAUGUGAAUUGCAGAAUUCAGUGAAUCAUCGAAUCUUUGAACGCACAUUGCGCCCGCCAGUAUUCUGGCGGGCAUGCCUGUUCGAGCGUCAUUUCAACCCUCAAGCCCAGCUUGGUGUUGGGGAUCGGCACAGGCGCCCUCGGGCGCCCGCCGUCCCCUAAAUCUAGUGGCGGUCCCGCUGCAGCCUCCUCUGCGUAGUAGUUUUCUCCUCGCAAGGGCAGCUCGGUGGCGACCUCGCCGUAAAACCCCCAACUUCUGAAAGGUUGACCUCGAAUCAGGUAGGAAUACCCGCUGAACUUAAGCAUAUCAAUAAGCGGAGA